UACGUAGGGCGCAAGCGUUAUCCGGAAUUACUGGGCGUAAAGCGUGCGCAGGCGGUUUUGUAAGACAGGUGUGAAAUCCCCGGGCUUAACCUGGGAACUGCAUUUGUGACUGCAAGGCUAGAGUAUGGCAGAGGGGGGUAGAAUUCCACGUGUAGCAGUGAAAUGCGUAGAUAUGUGGAGGAAUACCGAUGGCGAAGGCAGCCCCCUGGGUCAAUACUGACGCACAUGCACGAAAGCGUGGGGAGCAAACAGG
rnacentral:rRNA from 1 species